AUGCAACUGCUUUUCACAAUAGCGCCACCAUACAAUAGCCCACCAGACCCGCCGCAGAAUCAUGCACCCUUUACCCGCACAACCAGCUUCACACGCUCCGGCCACUACUAUUGUGACAUCACCGGACCAAGCCGACACGUAACCACGACCACUCUCUCCGCUUCAUCACCUCAAGCCGAAUCGUCUUUGACCGCGUUGUAG